UUUUUUCCAAAUGCGACCAACUUGGAUAUGUGGUCCUAAAUCCGAAACAUAUCUGAUCUUUUCAAACGGGACAUCAAUCUGUAUGGCCAAGUCUUGCUCAUCCGACUUUGACGUCAUUGUUACUCGACAAACGUCACUAUUCUGCGUCCUGAUACGCGCAAGCGGGAAGAAAAACAACCUCCAUGGCGGACUGUAAUGAAGAUGAAGUUGUUAAUGUGCUGACUUCUAUCGGACAACAACUUUAAAAUGGACCCGUCGAUUAGAACCAUCCAAAGCUGCUGUUUCUAUCAGGCCCCUCAUCUGGUCGCACCAGAAGAGUCGAUCAUCAGUGAAGUCGAUGGUCAGACCAGUGGGAGACAUGAGGCCGGUGCUGGCAAUGAUCACACGACUGCUUCCCUCCAGAGUGGCGCUUUCUACCACAGGCUGAGCGCCGGUGUCUGUCCAGAAUAACUUCCUCCAGAAGUUGGAACAAAAAGCCACACUUAAAGAGGAGAACAGGAAGGUUGCAGCUGAGUUGAGGUAAAGGCUUAUAUUCUGUUAAAAACAAACAUUGUGGUUCCAGUUACAGCAACAAUAUGAUCUGUAUUAAUUUAAUCCUUUCAUAUUGUAAAGCCUCGUUUUACGGCAUACACACAGAGUGACGUGUGACUGCUCUUUAAUGUAUUUAAUGACUCCUCACAGCAGAAAAGAUAGAUCAAAUAUUUUAAAUGAUUUUUUUUUAAGCUUCUCAAAGAAAAUCAGUAUCAGCUUAAAUCCAUACCAGCAGGUUAAUGUUAAAAAUGAUAUGGAUAAUAGAAAUUAGCUA